GCGGAUGUAGCUCAGUUGGUUAGAGUACCGGAUUGUGGUUCCGAGGGUCGUGGGUUCGAGUCCCAUCUUCCGCC
rnacentral:tRNA from 1 species